rnacentral:rRNA from 1 species
GGUGAUCGGCCACACUGGAACUGAGACACGGUCCAGACUCCUACGGGAGGCAGCAGUAGGGAAUCUUCCGCAAUGGGCGAAAGCCUGACGGAGCAACGCCGCGUGAGUGAUGAAGGUCUUCGGAUCGUAAAACUCUGUUAUUAGGGAAGAACAAAUGUGUAAGUAACUAUGCACGUCUUGACGGUACCUAAUCAGAAAGCCACGGCUAACUACGUGCCAGCAGCCGCGGUAAUACGUAGGCGGCAAGCGUUAUCCGGAAUUAUUGGGCGUAAAGCGCGCGUAGGCGGUUUCUUAAGUCUGAUGUGAAAGCCCACGGCUCAACCGUGGAGGGUCAUUGGAAACUGGGAAACUUGAGUGCAGAAGAGGAAAGUGGAAUUCCAUGUGUAGCGGUGAAAUGCGCAGAGAUAUGGAGGAACACCAGUGGCGAAGGCGACUUUCUGGUCUGUAACUGACGCUGAUGUGCGAAAGCGUGGGGAUCAAACAGGAUUAGAUACCCUGGUAGUCCACGCCGUAAACGAUGAGUGCUAAGUGUUAGGGGGUUUCCGCCCCUUAGUGCUGCAGCUAACGCAUUAAGCACUCCGCCUGGGGAGUACGACCGCAAGGUUGAAACUCAAAGGAAUGACGGGGACCCGCACAAGCGGUGGAGCAUGUGGUUUAAUUCGAAGCAACGCGAAGAACCUUACCAAAUCUUGACAUCCUUUGACAACUCUAGAGAUAGAGCCUUCCCCUUCGGGGGACAAAGUGACAGGUGGUGCAUGGUUGUCGUCAGCUCGUGUCGUGAGAUGUUGGGUUAAGUCCCGCAACGAGCGCAACCCUUAAACUUAGUUGCCAGCAUUUAGUUGGGCACUCUAAGUUGACUGCCGGUGACAAACCGGAGGAAGGUGGGGAUGACGUCAAAUCAUCAUGCCCCUUAUGAUUUGGGCUACACACGUGCUACAAUGGACAAUACAAAGGGCAGCUAAACCGCGAGGUCAUGCAAAUCCCAUAAAGUUGUUCUCAGUUCGGAUUGUAGUCUGCA